rnacentral:rRNA from 1 species
GACGGGGGGAUGCAAGUGUUAUCCGGAAUCACUGGGCGUAAAGCGUCUGCAGGUGGUUUCCUAAGUCCACUGUUAAACCUUGAGGCUCAACCUCAAAUCUGCAUUGGAAACUAGGAGACUUGAGUAUAGUAGGGGUAGAGGGAAUUUCCAGUGGAGCGGUGAAAUGCGUAGAUAUUGGAAAGAACACCGAUGGCGAAGGCACUCCCCCUGGGCCUGCACUGACGCUCAUGCACGAAAGCGUGGGGAGCAAACAGG